GGGAGGUUCAGCCCGAGCCCAGGAAGUUUGUUUUACGGCUAGUUUUUACACAGUUGUUUAAUCUGUUACCAAGGGUCAUCGGUCAGGCGGCCGCCCCUCUCCUGCAGUGCCCGUUCCCAGCAAAGGCUGCCUGGGAAGGAGGAAGAGAGCACUUUCCAGAGACUCAGCAAAGAGGAAGUGCCCUGGACACGCGGCCUAAGAGCGCUCCCAGGACGCGGGCAUUCACCCAGCAAGGUGUUGGGGUCAGGAGAUUGCUCUUGCCCUUGGGUCCGCGUCACUGGCUGAAGCCCCAGAGAGACCCCGGGGUGGCCUCUAGUGAGGCCCGGUCACCCGCAGCGGCUGGGAUUCCAUUCUCAUCAGUCAACACGGGGAAGGUUUUAUUUAUUGAAGUAAUCUCCAGGCCCAACAUGGGUCUUGAACUCGCAACCCUGAGAUCAAGAGUCCCGCGCUGUCCUCACUGAGCCGGUCAGGCGCCCCAAGAGUGUG
rnacentral:lncRNA from 1 species